rnacentral:lncRNA from 1 species
UAUUUAGCAAAUGUAACAUCACCCCGGGGUCAAUGCUUCGCAUGUUAGCUGGUGUCCAAGUGAAGACAUCAACAUUUUUCUGCAAAAAAGAAGUGAGACGAUCUUUGGUUACCUGAUCCAAGCUAAACCCAACCUGAACUGUAUGUUUUUCAUUCCAGUCAUUCAAUGUGAUCAUCUCAAGGUCUCCCAUUGGUUCCCCAUGCUCUUCGGUUAGCUUAUCACGGGUGUCCAGUCUGUCAAUGAUGCAUGCAUCAAAAAGCUUGGUUCUCUAGAGAACGAGGGUGUAACAUUACCAUGCUAGGGCUUGGUCACCUUGAAUCUCCUUGAAGCCAAACUCCAUUGGAAAUUUCACCUUCAGGUGGUACAUAGAUACCACAGCUCGGAAUGUAUUCAAUCCUGGUUGUCCAAGGACGAUAUUGUAAUCUGAUAGUGUCUGAACCAUGAAAAAAUUAACUUGGGCC